AUCUCUCUGCUUAAUAUAGUCAAAGAAGACAACCAAUAUCACCAUAAGCCUGUCAUGUUAGAACAACUUGGGCCGAGCAGAAACAAACAUUAUGAUUGGGACGUCCCAUCAAUCCCCAGCUCUGACAAGUUGCCAAGUGGUGUCAAGUUUAUACAUCCCCUCAAAGAGAAGGUUUCCUCUGGGUUGUAGAAACAAUCUGACUUAAAGAUGAUGUCUGAUCAAUUCUCAGUUAUAUAGAGUGUUGAAUAAACUCACAGGACACAGGAUCUCUAUUUAACGCUGCAAUGGCCAAAGACCAAAUAAAAUAGUGUGAGAAUAUUAUAUGGCCACUUGUCAGCAGUUCCUCUCUGAGAUCUACCUCCCCGAGGAGAACUUUCGACAUCGGCCAGGGCUUAGUACUCAGACCGACAGUAUGGUGCUAUGACACUGGGAUACUGGAUAAGAAAGGUAAGCUUUCCCUGCUACUACUCUAAUAAGCAUAUGUUCAUGCUUCGGCAACCAUUCAAAUACUGUUAUUAUGUUUUUGUUUCCAUAUAGACACAUUUUGUAACUUUUAAGACCUUCGUCUCGUUGAUUUUCACUUGGCCAAAAGGAAAGUACUGCAAUGAAAUCGCUGUGGUUAAUUCUGAUUCCUUUUGAUCAAUUUUGAUUCAUUUGUAGUGCAUUGAUUCAAUGACAUGCAAUUUGUCGAAGAACCACUUAUGGGACAUAGGUAAAGAUGACACAUUAAAAUUGAAAAAUACAUUGACGUUAAAAGUAUCUUUGUCCCAAAUGUACAGUACAAGUCAGAGAUCUUGAAUGAGGCUACUGUUUUACAAUGCUUUAAUAAAAUAAAUCUCAGAAAAAAAACAUGGGCAUGACUAGAUUAAAACAAUAUAUCAGCAAACACAAAAACUACAUACUGUACUGUAUAGAUACUGUACUAUAGUUUUGUACAGUAUUACAUAUAGUAUAAUACCAGUCUGGAUGUUAUUAUGGAUCUUUUUGCUGUGCGUUUUUUUAAAUGUUUGUUUGCACGCUUAUGAGUAUGCAUGUCUUUCUGUAUAUGCUCAAGGGUGAAGAUAGUCUUCAGUAUUCACACAAAGCCUUAAGAAAAACUUCAGAGACAAUCACAACACAACGCAGUAGAGUAGAUCAGAUGAAAAGGCACCCCUUGUGAGACUUGUCUUAACCCUGGCUGAAACCCUUUCCUUUUCAUAUUGCAUGUCAUCGCACGUAACUCAACCCCCUGUCAUCCCCAUGAAGUGAUGACAGGUCUGGCCAAAAUAUGACUCCUCCAUUGGAAAAAGUGUUACCGUACCGCAGCUCCGUGGGCAAAGCAAGGUGCUAACAUUUUCAAGGACACAGGAUUGAUAUCGCCAGAGCAUGCAUGCGCUAUGGUGCAGUUCAAAAACGUUACGCCAGUUCAAAAUGCACGUACACCGUAGAUACAAGAAGUGUCUGAUGCUCAAACAUACUAUAAUACACUCAAGGCCUAAAUGUUACAGGACAAGUUACACAUUAAUCGUAGUCCCUUAAUGCAUGCCGUACCUCCUGUAGCACGCUGUAAUAGACAUUGAAAGUUAACUACUAUAGUACUACACUACUAUGACAUAACACGGGGCCUUUAGUAAUACAUUACAACUUGGUCAUUGCCAUUCUGGUAACAGCUCAUUUAUAAUGCUGUGUCUUAAGGGGUUAAAACAUCUUAAAAAAUGCAACCAUUAAUAAUUUCUACCAUGCAUUAUCAAGUUGGCCACUGUCAUUUCUUAUGUAAUUUGAAAGUGAUUUGUACAUGUUUGUGGCAGGUUCAGACCUACAAACAUGAAGAGUGCAGAGAGUGAGUAAGUGAGAAGAGAGAGAAGAGAUAACUGCCACUCUGGCAUAUGCCAAUCAUCAUUAACACUAGUCCCCUGCCAGCACAGGGUGACCACGAUCAGGGGCGUAGCAGCAAAAUGUGGGCCCUAUAUACAAUAAUCUCCAACGGACACCCCCAGUCAUAUAUCUAUAUAAAUAAGGCACUGUGUGGGCCCCCUAUAUACAUGGGGCCCUGGUGACUCAGUCACACUUCACCCGCCUGUACGACACCACUGCCCACGAUUCAAGGGAGUGGCCAGCAUGAGAAAUAUAUUUCAACUCCCUACAAAUGGAGUAGGCUACAUAAUGACUGGACAGGUAGCCUUGGUAUGAUAGAGAACUUAUACAGUAUGCUGUGUUAAGUGUAUAGCUAUUUGACCUUAUGUGACCUUCAAAUGCAAAACUAUUUGUAUGUAUUUGUGCUUCUUUGUUAAUAGUAGUAAAAUAACUUUUUUGUUGUUAACGUUAGGGCUAGAAAUAAUCAGAUAACAUGAAUCCAGUUGCAAGAGCUGCGGCAGCGAAGGCAGCCUCCUGAACUCCUGUCCAUCCCAUCCAUAUUAGCCAGAGCUGAGGAGGGACAGUCUGCUGCUGAGACUUUGUGCCCUCUCUCUCCCCUGGACGUCAGCCAUAUGCCAAGCAUCUGCAAAUGAGAUGCAUAGCAGAGUAAGGGAUCCAGAAAGGAGAAGCAAGACAAGACAUAGGCCUAUGGUUGACCUAAAAUGUUUGUCCAAAGGCUAAGAGGGAUGUUUCCAGAUCUCUUGAAAAUGGAGUGAAAAAAAGAAAAAAAAAUCCAGUGAAAUCCCUCUUAAAUUCCA